GCCGGGUGCAGUGGCGCGCGCCUGUAAUCCAAGCUGCUGGGAGGUUGAGGCUGGCGGAUCGCUUGAGUUCAGGGGUUCUGGGCUGCAGUGGACUAUGUCGAUCGGGUGUCCGCGCUAAGUUCGGUAUCGAUAUGGUGCUCCUGGGGGAGCUCGGGACCACCAGGUCGUCUAAGGAGGGGUGAACCGGCCCAGGUCGGAGACGGAGCAGGUCAAAGCCCCCGUGCCGAUCAGUAGUGGGAUCGCACCUGUGAAUAGACACUGCAGUGCAGCCUCAGCGAUACAGCGAGACUCAGACUUUU
rnacentral:SRP_RNA from 1 species